rnacentral:rRNA from 1 species
GCGCUGAAUAUGUCUCCCUGCGGCCGCCGCGCCCGGGGCGCGCCCCAUCUCGGGUCGCUGGAAUGCCCCGAGAUCGAAAGCUCCGGCGCCAGAGGAUGGGUCUGCGGCCUAUCAGGUAGUAGUGGGUGUAGCGUACCUACUAGCCUACGACGGGUACGGGUUGUGAGAGCAAGAGCCCGGAGAUGGAUUCUGAGACACGAAUCCAGGCCCUACGGGGUGCAACCAGCCCGAAAACUUUAAAAUGCCCGUGACCGCGAUAAGGGGAGCUCGAGUGCCAGGUGACAAAUCUGGCUGUCGUGAUGCCUAAAAAGCAUUGCAUAGCAAGGGCCGGGCAAGACCGGUGCCAGCAGCCGCGGUAAUACGAUCCCCCCGU